AGUCAGAUAACAUUAGGGUCAAUUUUUGACAUCAUGUCCAUCGGCGUCGUUGUCACUGUCGGCAGCUCCGUCCUGCCCUAGUCCCUGAGGAACGCAGCAAUAAUGGUGGAUAGGCUCAAAUUCUUCAUUCCUUCUGCUAAAAGUUAUUUACUCUCCAUCAACACGGCGCUCUGGUGUGGUAGUUGAUGUCGAACAAUAACAACGAAGAAAAGGACUUGCGGGCCAGUUGAAGGUUAUGGGUUUGAAACUACAGAACUUGCCUAUUUAGUAAAUUUCACCAAUAUGGCUAAUUGGAGUACUUGGAGCGACUGGUUGGAAUGAGAUAUUUGGUGAAAGAAAUAUGUGGAUGUGAAUGUGAAAUGACGGAUGAUGUGAAGAUGCCAUAUAGUUCAUAAUGUGGUCCCGCACUCCAAAUUCACGGACUGGAUGGGCAGCUAUGCCCAAGUAUGUCGCUUGUUUCUUUCAUUCUUUCUUUCUGGUUAAAGAAACUAAAAAAUAAAAAAUAAGUUAAUGAACAUAAAUUUUAUUUUGCAUGUCAUUAAGAGUUGAUUUUUUUUUAAAAUAAUCAUUCUUGAGCAAUAUUUGAUUUUUAAUAGGAUUCAGACAAUAUUCCUUAUUGUUUCCACUUUGGUUUUCUUUUCUUUCUUUUUUUUAACUAAAUCUUUGAUCCCAGUGGAGUCAAAAGUUUUUUUCUGCCGUAGGCACCAAUCACAUCCUCUCAGUUCUUCAGAGAUUGGGAGACUACAAUCUCCAGCGGCAGUACCUUCAGAUCGGGUUUCUUCAGUUCUGCAAAUUCCACCAAUCUCUAUACCGGAACCUAUUACAAUCAGGUUUCAGUAAUCAUUUCUUAUGGGUAAGUAACGAAGAUAAACCUUUAGGAUUCUUCUGGAAUUCUGAAUGUUAGUGAAGCUCGUUGUCUUGUGGUUUUGGAUGGAAAUUGAGAGGUUAUUUCGUUAUCAAAUGGUACAAACUCUGGUAAUAAUUCAAUUGUACAGCCUUUUUAGACACUGGAAACCUUGUUUUGAUGUUGGUAUCCAACUUGUUCUUGCGAAACAAGAAAUCAUGGGGAAGGUAAUAGCUAACAUCGUAGAAAAGCCAUAUUGAUCCAUCCACAGGCGUAGACACUCCAUUUUGGCGCGCAUCCCCAUAAUCAUGAGCAAAGCAGCAGAAAAUGAAAUAGAUACUUUUGACCAAGAGGCAGAAUAUCUUCUUGGUUAUGAAUGAGCCAAGUCAAACUCCAAGUGCUACCAGUUUUAGAGUUUGAGAGCCUGAAAGCUGCAGAAGUCAACUUUCUUGUCACCAAUAUGCUUGGGCAGGUGGUUGUGGUUCAGCACACAGGGUACACCUUGCUUGUAUGGCAUAUUGAAUUGAAUAUCUUUCUAGUAAUAAUUAACUUGAAUAUUUGGUCUCUGAUGUCAUUGUUAUCUUGAGAAAAUGCAAGAGGGAGAUCUGACGGGAUUGAGAAUUUAUGAAUGAGAUUAUGGUGAUUUCUGGACUCCAACACAGAAGUCUUAUUCAACUCCUUUGCUGCCUGCUAUGCUGAAGUAGAAGAAAGAUAUUGAUCUACUGAUGCAUGCCAAAUAAGAGCUUACACUCAUUUAUGUUUGGUGAUGCAAGUAGGCUCGCAGAUAAGGCUCGUAGAUAGAAAGGCCUCAAUUUUGCCCUGAUAUUAGAGUGAGUAUUUUUGGGAGUAUUUUUGUAUGACCCUAGCUAGUUGAGGAUAUUUAUGGGGAACAGUAUAUAUAUGUGUAUUUUGGAAAACAAUUUAGCACUCUUGUAUUGUAUAUAAUUACAUAUA